UGUAAGCGUAUACCAAAGUUGUUGCAGUUAAAACGCUCGUAGUCGGACUUUGGCAGUUCCGGAUGUGUGCACGUCGUGUGCGCACUUCGCGGGGAUUGCUUUUGUGGUCUUGCGUAGGAUGAGGCACUUUUAUUAGUGAACGUCCUCACGCAACCACUUUUUACUGUGAGAAAAUCAGAGUGCUCAAAGCAGGCAUUUGCCGUGAAUGUAUUAGCAUGGAAUAAUAGAAUAGGACUUGGUUCUAUUUUGUUGGUUUGUUGGGACUGAGUAAUGAUUAAGAGGGACAGUUGGGGGCAUUUGUAUUUCGGUGCUAGAGGUGAAAUUCUUAGAUUACUGAAAGACAAACUGCUGCGAAAGCGUCUGCCAAGGAUGUUUUCAUUGA
rnacentral:rRNA from 1 species